UAUCAAUGAUGAAUGAAGAAAGGCUUGUUUCUCAUGAACAUUCGCAGUGGCCGCCUGAUUGAACUUUCGCCUUCGCCAGGCUUGAGAGUUCAUGCUGCUUCAUCCUUCCUUGGAUGUCUGAGAUCUUCCUCUGUCUGUUUGUAUAAAUCUUCUAUAUGUUUUUUUUUUUCAAUGUGAUUUUGUGUUUGAAACUAGUGAUGAUAUCUUUAAGGCUUGUUUCUCAGAAACAUUCGCAGUGGCCGACCAAGAGCUUUCGCCUUCGCCAGGCUUGAGAGCUUGUGCUGUUAUGCUCCUUCCUUGGAUGUCUGAAGUUUCAUUUCAUUUCAUUUAUUUAAUAUAGAGAAUUAGGGUGGGUUUCUCAGUGAUGAUUUCAAUAGAUGACGAGUCUGAUACAUUAUCCAUUCCAUUCAGUAUGAAGACCAAUCGAGGCAUUUGUCUGAGAGAU
rnacentral:lncRNA from 1 species